GGGUUAAGUCCCGCAACGAGCGCAACCCCCGCCGUUAGUUGCCAGCGGUUCGCCGGGCACUCUAACGGGACUGCCCGCGAAAGCGGGAGGAAGGAGGGGACGACGGUCUGGGUCAGCAUGGCCCUUACGGCCUGGGCGACACACGUGCUACAAUGCCCACUACAAAGCGGUGCCACCCGGCAACGGGAGCUAAUCGCAAAAAGGUGGGCCCAGUUCGGAUUGGGGUCUGCAACCCGACCCCAUGAAGCCGGAAUCGCUAGUAAUCGCGGAUCAGCACGCCGCGGUGAAUACGUUCCCGGGCCCUU
rnacentral:rRNA from 1 species